ACUUCAGUAACACCAUGAUCUUGUGCUUGCUUUUUGAAAAUCAUGGAAGAACAACCUGUGAUCUGGUACCAAUUUUUGGCACAACCAUUAACUCCCAAAGUGAUUCACCAGAGUGCUUUAUGCUUUCCAACAGGUAUGCGUCAUACAAGAUGGAUUUAUUCUUGACCGAUUGGAAGCAUACCGCAACACGGCGUACACAAGGGCUAGCCUAAGCAUGCAGGUAGAUGGAUUACAGACGUCUUGUUAAUACUGGUGCAAGGAUGCAAUUUCCAUGACCAAGCGCAACGUCGGUGGAUCUGUAUCUUUGGGUUCAGAAUUUUGAAAGAAAGGGGAUAUGGGAAACAAGAAGAGGGGAGCUCUACCUUGGCUAGGAUCCAUGACGGCGAGGUAGCACCACCGAUUGUUGGGACCAUGUGUUGGGCGUCGCCGGCGCCGGUGUCGUGGGCAGGCGGCUUGGCCUACUCGACGGCGUAGGCGGCCUCGAUGGCCUGGAACUCCGCCUCGCUCGUCCGCGACAUCCCAGUAGAAAUCGUCGGCGUCAUGGGCGGCGCAGCCACCGGAGCUAGGGCUGGGCGAUGUAUGGAGGUGCGGCGGCAUUGAGCGAGAAAAAAUCGUGAUGCCGAUCGAUCUGAAGGGCAGAACGUGUGCGGGGCAGACGUGGGUGGCAGAACAUUGAAUCUGAGCCAUCCAAUCGGAUGUCAGACCGCUGAAUGAAUCUGUGCUGUUAGAUUUCAUUAGAUGUAAUUGAUCAUGGGGUGCAGGUUAUCCUGUGUACAUUUUGUGGUGUGGUUGUAGAAGAAUUCAUGUUUGCUCUUUUAAUAGUAGUGUAGAAGUGUAGAUACAUUUUAAUACAAAAAUAUUGGUUUCAGCUCAUCGGAAUGUAUCUUUGAUUUUGUGUGUGUUUUCUCUUACCUUUUUAUAUACAGAUACAGAAGGUUUAGUUCAGUGGCUGUGCUGGACAGGAGGGGCCAGGGAAUUGCUUUAAGUUGUUCCAAGAGAUGUGAGCCUGAUAAAACGAUGACAUAGCAGAUUUCCACCGUGGUGAGUUUCGUACUUAAGUUUUAUAUUAUAUUAUUGCUGAUCACGUGUAAAAUAAAAUUUUGCAAUGAGAAGAUACAUGCUAGUUAUUUCAACCAGCUUAAAUUUUUCUGGUAAAACAAACUUUUGUCCUGGACGUAUGUUCAAUAUAGUAGUAAUAAUGCUUGACAUUAUCAAGAAGCAAGUCGUGUACAAUAUAUUAUUAACAGCAAUGAUGUGUGUUCUUCAGAAUUAUAUGCAUAAACAGUUGCAUACCCAAAUCAGUUACAUUAAAACAUAACCCAUUCGGUUAAUUAUCAGAACAUGGAAAUCUGAUGGCCCAAAAGUGGAGCACAAUCUCAGCUGAUGCUGAACUAUAGGCUAAACAGCAAGUGAAUAGCAAAAGCUAAUAACUAUGAUAGAUUGUUGAUGUUAUUAGGACUGUAUCAUUUUAACUUUGGGUGCCUCUCUUCAUGUGCUGACUCCUUUCUUUAUCCUCUUUCUCACGGAGUACCUCAACACUCAAUUUGUCCUCUACCUCUUCCUGCCAUGAAUGUCUGUUCAACCUUUUUUCUAUGCAGUGUUUCUCACCUGACAAACUUGAAAACCUGAAAUAUUGCAAUACAUCAGCACAUUAGCACAUUAUACUCAUAGAAAAAUAUUAUGCAUGGAAGCUCAAAAAGAACACAGUAGCAUACAUUUUGCUCUUAUCAUCUGAAAAAAGGUUAGGCACUAUCAUUAUGUAUGCCUACUCCAUCUGAUUAUUACAUAUCACGUGCGUACCCCAUCUGGUCAUUACAUACAUAUCAGGGGGGAUCAGAUGGAGAAGCAGAGCUCUCACCUUUUGCUCGAUCGAAGAAGAUACCCUUGUGUUCAUCCACCUUACCUCCUCUUCUGCUACUUAUUCUCCUUCGCUAAACCUGCAAAUAAAAACAAAUAAUGUUAGAUCCACAAGUAGUUACAGAUACAAUAACAAGGUGCAAAUAAAUACCGGAAUAGCGCACCUGCCUCAUCUCCCCAAAACAUCUCUAUAGACAAUGUUCUUGGUGCUUUUCCCAGAUUUAUCAACCUCGUUGUUUGGCUUGGCCAAAAUCCGCGUCGUCUCUCUGGACACUCCCCUUGACAAUGCAACAUAUAGCUGACCAUGUGAGAAUACUGGCUCGGGAAGGUAAAUACCGACGUUUGGGAUAGUCUGACCCUGCGCCUUGUUAAUUUUCAUCGCAAAACUCAGGUGAAUGGGGAACUGUUUCCUCUUAAGUUUGAAAGGAAGUGAGAUGUCCUCCGAGGGCGACAUAGGGAUCCUAGGUAUGAAGACCCUCUUUCUAGCAUGCUGACCACCAACAAUCUCUGCGUCGAUUGCAUUAUCCUGGAAGGCUCUAAUCAUAAGUCGUGUCCCAUUGCAUAGGCCAUUAUGAGGGUCGAGGUUCCGGAGCAGAAUGACCGGGCAGUUAACCUUUAAUCUCAACACAUGCGGGGGCAAGCCAUUUGGUGUGAUCGAGUUUAGAAAAUCAAUCGUGUAAUUAUACUGCAAGUCAUCCUCGAUGGAGUCGAAGCUGUGGUAUAACUUUUCUGAGCCUGGAAACCUGGAGAUCAUCUUGUCAUUCAGGUCAUCGACAUGAUCGUUCUUGGUGGAAAGAAUAGCACGUGUGCUCAUAUACUCUCUCGAUCUAGCAUUGGCAUGCAACGAUGGGAAGACAUUGUCGAUGAGUGUGUUAAUAGCUUUCUCAUCCUCGGUAUAGCCGAUCACAAUGUCGUCAGGGAGACGCACAUAGUCGUCGCCAAUUGUCUCUUCUGUUCCAUUGCCGAUCCGUAGGAGGUAUUCAAAGAACCAAGGAUCAGCCUGUGCUCGCAUAUUGCGCGUGAGGCGUAUCUUCCGGGUCUUCUCCCACAGAUAGGAUCUUAGAAGUGUAGCAUCCGUGAUCUAUGCUCUUGUCCCACGUGUCACAACGGGGAGGACCUGCCUGAAAUCCCCACCAAAGACGACAACCUUUCCCCCAAAUGGCAAAGAACAGUCCAUUAUGUCCUGCAGGGAUCUAUCAAGCGUCUCAACUGCUUGACGUUUUGUCAUAGCGACCUCGUCCCAAAUUAUCAAGGAGGCUUGUUUAAGCAACUCCGUUGUACCACUCUGCUUUGUGAAACUACACAUGUUGUUGUCAGUGAGCUUGAUGGAAUUUUGAACCUGGAGUGCGCAGUCCGUCCUCCGGGCAUUAUUGACGCCGCUAUACCUGAUGUAGCAGUUGCAAUCACUAUCUGGCCCAUCGAACGCACCUUUGCAAGCAAUGCCUUGUACAAGUAUGUCUUGCCGGUGCCUCCUGGACCAUCAACAAAGAAUAUCUGGCUUUUGUGUUCCAUCACAUGAUCCAUUAUUUCAUUGAAACCAGCCAGCUGUUCAUUGUUCAAACUACUAAAUAAAUCUAGGUGUUCUUUGUCCACGCUGACUUGCCUCUCCUCUGUUACCUCUUUGUACUCACCGUCAGAAGAACCAUCGUUCUCAACCAAAUCCGGAAGUCCAUAGCUUGUAAUAUCUUUUCCCAUGGAUUGCAACAUAUCCCUGAUAUCUCUGAGGACCAUCUGCUCAAGUGUUGCCUCAUUGGAUUGAUUACGCCGGUAAUCCUCAGACAUUGAUGCCAGGUGUUUGUCCCGCAGCUGCCGGAUUUCUGUUGCCUCGCAAAACACCAGUAUAGUUGCAAAUAACCGUCUUAGGGCAGAAGGCAUCUGAAAUGUGGCUGCCUCCGUCAUGCAAUCAUCAAGAGUCCUGUCGUGCUCAAUAAGGCCUAAGUGCUCACAUGCCUCCCUGAAGGAACUGCAUGGCUUGCCAUUUACUGUUUUUAAAUCAUCGAAUGAAGUGGCACCUCGGACAUGACUUAGGAGCACACGCAAGUAGUACCUCUCUCCUUCAGCAGGGUGUGCAUGCACAAGUCUUCCAAUCUGUGAUCUCUUAUUUCUUCUAUUCUGCUACUUCUUAUUUCCAGGUAUCCAUCUAUAAUGUUCUGGAAACUCUCUGUACAACCAUUUUCAUGCAGUUGGAAACUUUCGGUUCAUCUCAAAGUAUUCUGUAAGCAUGGACUUUGAAGAAGAUGGUCGAGCUACAACAUCUGCAAGAUUCUCACAUGCUUUAAAUGCAACUGUAUGCAUAUUUGGCAAAUGAAGCUGGAGUUGUAGCACAGAUGGACUGACACCAAACAUUUUAAAACCAAAAAUCUUGUAAAUAGCCUCUGGAGGAGAUACGUAUCGUGCAUCCCUAUAUUGUCGGAUUUCAUUGAUGAUUCCACCAUCAUUGAUGAUAUCCUGCUCGAAUGCAAAGGAUGUACGAUCAUGACCUUUGUAGAUGUACUUGAAUAAGUACUUGACUGCCUUGAUGCUCGAGCAUGCUUCCACAUUAAUGUGGCAGUUGUAUCGCAUAAGUAGUGAAGGGUUGUAAGGGACCACCCACCUAUUGUCCAAAUCUGCUCCUCUGAUCCUAAUUCGACGCCCAUCGUCCCUCCGCCUAUAGAUGGGAUAUGAGUCUUUCCCUUGUUGUGUGGCAUCACAAAAAUCUCGCGGGUAAUGAAACCGACAUUGACCAUCAAUCAUGCAAGGGCAACUUUUUUUCAACUCGCCACAUGGUCCAUGCAGCAUGUGUUUGACGACCAGUUCAUGUAGAACGGGGUGUUUCUCUUUGUCCGGUAUCUCUGCACAUAUCACUCGAUCAUAGUCAUCCGGUGUCGAUAACUUGCUUUUUGCUUUCAUGAUUAGAAGUAUAUGCUCAUGCGGGAGACCUCGCUUCUGGAACUCAGUUACAUGUACAUAGGCCGCGACUUCUCCGAAAUGCUUACCCUUAGUUAGUAAGUCCAUCAUAUCUCGCUGUUUAGCCUUGUAUACUCUUGCCACCAGGUCUGGACGGUCCUGCGGCAGUUGUCCAGGCAACAACUUAUCGGUUAUCUCCUCCCAAUAUGGGUUGCACGUCAUCGUGAUAAAAUAAUCCGGUUUACCCCACCGCUGCACUAUUGCCAUAGCAUCCAAGAACCUCCGUUGCAUGUCGCGAUCACCACCAGGAAAUGUACGUGGAAGCACAAUUCUUUUGCCAAUUCGAUCUCCGCGUGACUCGCCGACAACGACGGUGUCAACAAGACCCUAUAAUAGCAUAGAACGUUAUACAAAUUCUUGGAACGUCCAUAAUGUCAUUGCAUUAUGCUGUAUUAAAAUAAACACAAGAACACUACCUGGUAGAGGUCAGCGCGUAUAACCUUUUGAUUUUCCGGCUUUGAGUACCAAUCAAGCCGCAUAGUUUCAAUCUUGAUAUACAUGUCAAUAGCCCACUGUUGGAAAAGGCGAUGACCGAACAAGAUGAUGUUAAAAAGCUUCCUCCUGACUUGCAGCUUGAAGCAGUAGUACUCCCUAGCACUAACAAAUUUUCUGGAUUGUUUUGCAUUGACCUCAUUGUCACCAAAUUCGUCAUCUGGGUUAUCCUCAUUGUCAUCUACAAGUUUGAGAUCAAUAUCAAUAUGGUGGGUGGACUUGUAGUCAUCAACAAUAUUCAUAAUGAUCGACAACAUAAUAAUUGAAGAAUAAGUGAAUAAUACCCGAAGGUAAAUCAGUGCCAUGGGCGUCAUGCGCUGUAAAAUUCCCAUCUUGUUCUAUUUCUCUAAUGAAGUUCCCAUCUGAUAGAUAUGACAGAUGUAUAUGAAAACACAAGUUUUGAGCAUCAUUGUGGAAAACAGAAAGUAUAUAAAUUAAUAGUUCACAUCAUACCUGUAUAUAAUUCAGGGGCUUGGUUUCCCUGUGGUGCAUGAUUACCAGCUUCAUGCAGUGCCAAAUUACCAUCUUCUUCUCUUUCUUUAAUCAAGUCUUCAACUGAUACAUAAAAGCUGUCAUCAUCAUUCACAAAUAGCUUGUAUAUAAAAUAAAAGUGAACAUCAUACCUAUAUGUUCGACAGAGGCUUGGUUUCCUUGCAAUGCAGGAGUAUGUAUUGAAUUUUGGUUCGUGUCAUCUUGUGGCCGAAUAUAUGGCAUGCAACGAUUCCAGCCAGUCUCUCCACGUGGGAAAAACAGUGGAUAUGACAAUGGGUCGUAGCACCCAUAGUAUGCUCUAAUAUACAGUGGCCGGUUUCCUGUUUUUCCAUGCACAACAACACUCCUGUCAAAGCAAUUUUGUGGGUCACUCCCUUCAACCCAUAUCGCUGCCACUUGGGAAGUCGUAGGGCCAUUGUACCUUCGCUGAUCUAACUUGAUAUCCGUGUUUAGUGAGAUUCUAUACUCAUGUAGAUUCGGAACAGACCCUAGGCUCUUCAAAACUUGUGCAUAAGGGUUAUGCUGUAGUAUUCUCAGAAUCUUCCGUAUGAGGUCUAUAUUAAGAUCUGGAGACCUAUUAGCCCUGUGUACCAAGUUUUGAUCUGUAUCAUAAAUAUAGAGUUGCAAAUGCCGAGGGCCAUUAUCAGCCGGCACCAGAUUGUCAAGAGCGUGGUACAGCCCACCACAUGCACGGAAUGUAUAUAUGCCAGUUCCUGCCGCAGUGCUUACUCGACGAUCAAGGGUGACGCCUAAACUUGUGAAUGAGAAGUGCGAGUUGAAAUACCGUAUAUGUUCUCUGAAGUACUUAGCGUCCUCAUCAUCUUGACUUGUAAACAACCGUUUCAACUCUUCUAGAACAUCUGGAGUAAACAAAUCGACUUUUCCUUUUCUGCAACAAAAUGCUGGCCCCUCGAAUGGAAACCGCAACGCCCCACAGUGGCGACAGUCCGCAACCUUUCUUAGGACAUGGUGCCUUGUAGGUAGGUUUCGGUAUAUGAAGUCAUCGGUAUUUGCUACGGGUACUGCUCGGGUAGGAUGCUGUCCAAUUUGGUAUGAUUCAAAAGCAACAUCUAGCACAGGACAACACAUGUAUUUUAUCAGUAAAUACCCAUAAUAUGUGCAUUUUAGAUUGGUAAAUUAGAAAAUACGCAAUGCACAUACCCUGAUCCAUAAAUAUUCUAGCUUCUUCAUCAGGCUCAUGGUAUGCAGCUUCUCCAUUAUGCAAUGGCUCCAAGCAGUCUAGUAGGGAAUAUAUUGGUCAUACAGAAAUGACUCAAAUUUAUGUAUGAUGACCUGUAUGUGUGUAUGAUAGUAUAUACAAUAUACCUUGUAAAUUGUUUAGUUCAACAACAGGUUCAAAAAUCCCAUAUGGAUCAUCUUUCUGGUCAUUGCCCACUAUAAAAAAUCAUAAGAUUAGUAGAGCAUAAGCAUGCUGAAUCUUCAAAAUCCCAUAUCAUAUUAGUAGUGUUAUUAGUACCUAGUGGAUCCGGUUGCGCAGGCCGGAUCGUAUCAUAUUCCGGCGUAUUUUGAAGUUGGUUGGAUCCGCUAAAAGGUUGUAUACCUGAAGAAACAAUCGAAAAUCAGGGAUUUUUUUAUCAAAUAUACACUGUGGGCGCCCCAACAUCAUAACUGCACGGACGAACUAACCAGCAUGCUCAAUUAUGAAAUCUGGCUCACGUAUUAUGCUCAUUUGUGGUACCUGAACUCCAGAAAUUUGGGUGGGAGGUCCUGCAUGUACAAUUAAUUUUCGCACAGAAGAUGAUUACAAUCAGAAUGGUGGCUGGACCGGAAGGCAAAGCCAGUUAAAUUUACCUUUUGAGCUUCCUGCUAUUAGUUGCCUCUGAUACGCAUCAUUCCUGUGCAACCAAUUGGAUUCAUCAUCGCAGGUUAAAUAAUUUUCCUUGUCGAUUGAGAUUUGUUCAUGAGACGAAAUUUGUAUAUUUGAGAAGCCUGCCAUAAAAUUGCAGCACCACAUGAGUACCCAUUUUUUCUGGCAUAUUCGAUGAGGUGUGAACAUGCAAGUACAUGCAGGACCUCCCACCCAAAAGGUAUAUUUUAUGGUACACCCGAACCUGUCAAUUUAUGUAGCUGGAUGACACCGGAUUGUCCUGUAGGUGGUGUUUGCGACACAGUGUUAUCAUCGUUGAGGCCAGUACUAAUCUUUCUCUUUUCACGGGAUAGGCGUUGUCGUUUUAAUAUCUCAUCCCUAUUUUGUGCAUACCGCUCCCUGUUCCUUUGCCUCCUCAACUCCUUAGGGUCUGCAUAUAUGUGUAAUAAAGUUAAUUAGUAUGAACACAUAGGGUUGUAUAUACUUUGUUGAUCAGCAUUACCGAUGUACAUGGGCACCGGUGUAACUGUUUCAUUUUCUUGUUCAUUGACAUCGCCAUCCACACCGGUCAUUUCAAUAUCACUAUAGGCUUGAUGUUGUCUCUCGAAGACACCAUCCAUGUUCUGUGAAUACUGUAUCCCAACCAGUUGGCUCUGCAGUUCGUUAGGGUCCAUAUCUAUGACAUAUUGUUGUUAGUUUGGUGCAUGCAUCUUAUAAGUUUUUGGACCAAUACAUAGGAAUGCAGUGUAAGGGAAAUUUUACCUCGGGCCAACGGCUGGGGUAUAUGAGGUACAUUUUGAUCGACAUUAAGCAGUGUUGUUGAAGCCUGUUUCUUCUCACGGGCCUCACGCCGUCUUUUAAGGAUAUCAUCUUUAUUGCGUGCAUAGUACUCUCUGUUCCUCUGCCUCUUCAAUUCUUUGGGGUCUGCAUAAGUAGAUACCGCAAGUUAGGAUAUAAGUACAUACCGCAAGUUAGGAUAUAAGCACCAACAAAUACAGUAUGACAUUUUUAGGAAAAGGCUGACGAUAAUUACCCAAUAGUCGGUUGUUACUUAGAUCCUGAAAUGGGGUGCGCGCUCCCGCACUCUUGGGAGAUGACAUACCCUUGGCCUACAUAUGAAUAUUGCUAUCAUAAAAAAUUGGGAAGUUGAUAAUGUGCUUCAUCAAAGCCGUAUUUACAUUAUUAAUAGGAAGUUGUAAUGACAGGUCUCCUUGCAGGACCACUCUCAGUGGUUGGCCCUCCUGUUCACUUACACAAAAACAGAAGGCAGAAGAUGAUAUUGGCCCUGCUGUUGAGCCGCAAACAUAGAAUGUUGCUUUGGCAGGUACAGAAAUUGUGAUUUAUUGGUGCGGAAAUUAACUUUUAUUCUUUAUCCUGACGUAUCUACUUGGGACAAUGAAGCUAUAUUUUUUAUCCCCACUGCUAGAUGUAAUCUAAAAUAUGAAUUGCUAUUUUAGUUCACGCCAGGUAUAGGACAUAGGAUGCAUGUGUCAGUUAGGCUGGAAAUCGCUACAGAUGUGUAGUAUUGUGUUGUGCACAUGUGUAUAUUUUAGAACUAUAUAUUCUGAAAAUUACAAUUCUGAGUAUUGCUGCAACAGGUCAAUAAACAUUAGCUACAGAUGUGUAGUAUUGUGAUGUGCACAUGUUUAUAUUUUAGAAUUAUAUAUUCUGAAAAUUACAAUUCCGAGUAUUGAUUCAACAGGUCAAAGGAAGAAGCAGGUCGAAGGAAGAAGUUUAGACUAAAGACAUGGUUUGUUCUCUCCUAACCUCUCCCUCUAAGGGGAUAAGAGCGGCUAUAGUUUGUCCCCUCCCUUUGUCGUCAAGAUAGUCUCACCAAGUUUACAAACACCUUAAUUUCUUAUCAACGCAUACAACUCCAUUUAAAAUAAAAUCAGGCAACCAAGUAUGCAGAUGGUUAUGACUUCAUCAGAAAGUAAGUAGGCAUCACAUGCACUUGCAACCUGUUUUUUACAGUUGUCAAUUGAUCAAGUGCCUUGGAGCUUAAUUAUCUAGAAUGGACAGUCAAGGUAAUGGCCCUGAGGGUAUGGUGCGAACAUAUUGGCACAUAUGUUAAUGAAGUAAGUAAAAGAAUAAUGUUCAUAUGGAUUACAUUUACAAAUAACUUCGAAACCACAACUCUAAAAUAUGAAUGGCUAUUUUAGUUCACACCAGGUCUAGGACAUAGGAUGCAUGUAUCAGUUAGGCUGGAAAUCGAUACAGAUGUGUAGUAUUGUGAUGUGCACGCGUGUAUAUUUUAGAACUAUAUAUUGUGAAAAUAACAAUUUGGAGUAUUGAUGCAACAGGUCAAAGGAAGAAGCAGGUCGAAGGAAGAAGUUUAGACUAAAGUGGAGAGAAGAAUUUUACAGAUGCGUGUAUCCGGCUGGCUGCGACGGGCAGGGCGGGCUGUACCAGUGGGGAUCUCCCGUAGGGAUGCCACG
rnacentral:lncRNA from 1 species